CCAAUAGCGUAUAUUAAAGUUGUUGCAGUUAAAAAGCUCGUAGUUGAACUUCAGGCCUGUCCAGAUGGUCCGCCUUAAUUGGUGUGUACUGUCCUUGGGUGGGUCCUACCUUCUGGCGAAGCGGCAUGGCCUUAGUUGGUUGUGUCGGGGAACCAGGACUUUUACUGUGAAAAAAUUAGAGUGUUCAAAGCAGGCAUAUAUGCUCGAAUACAUUAGCAUGGAAUAAUGGAAUAGGACGAUGGUUCUAUUUUGUUGGUUCUAGGACCGUUGUAAUGAUUAAUAGGGAUAGUUGGGGGCAUUAGUAUUCAAUUGUCAGAGGUGAAAUUCUUGGAUUUAUUGAAGACUAACUACUGCGAAAGCAUUUGCCAAGGAUGUUUUCAUUAAUCAAGAACGAAAGUUAGGGGAUCGAAGACGGUCAGAUACCGUCGUAGUCUUAACCAUAAACUAUGCCGACUAGGAAUCGGGCGAUGUUGACAAAAUGACUCGCUCGGCACCUCAUG
rnacentral:rRNA from 1 species